UACGGAGGAUGCAAGCGUUAUCCGGAUUUAUUGGGUUUAAAGGGUGCGCAGGCUGUUUGAUAAGUCAGUGGUGAAAGUCUGUCGCUUAACGGUAGGAUUGCCAUUGAUACUGUUGGACUUGAAUAUGGAUGAGGUAGGCGGAAUGUGUAGUGUAGCGGUGAAAUGCAUAGAUAUUACACAGAACACCGAUUGCGAAGGCAGCUUACUAAUCCAUCAUUGACGCUGAGGCACGAAAGCGUGGGGAUCAAA
rnacentral:rRNA from 1 species